UCUGAGGAAGCACAGUUCCCGCUCAGCCCAGUCAAAACUGUUCGCUGCUCUGGCACCCCAAUGGUGGAACAAGCUCCCUCACGACGCCAGGACAGCGGAGUCAAUCACCACCUUCCGGAGACACCUGAAACCCCACCUCUUUAAGGAAUACCUAGGAUAGGAUAAAGUUAUCAGAUGACCAGACUUGAACAGAUCCUCAACCCCUACAUCCACCCUACAGAGUCUGAACCAGUGAGAUGUCAAAAAGCCUGGCUAACAACAGCCUCACCUGGUCUACAGGUGCUCUCUUGGCUAUGGCUGAAGAUACAUCAAUUGGUCCUGCAUUACACAAGCUAGAAACAGAACAAACCAAGAUGGAGACUGGUCCAGAGAGAGGAAUGGCAAUAUCUCUGAGCUGAAGCCAGGGCCCAAAUCUAGCUGGAAUCUACACACAAAAUAUAUUAAGG
rnacentral:lncRNA from 1 species